CGCUAUCACUCCUACGGGGAGGCAGCAGUGGGGAAUAUUGCACAAUGGGGGAAAACCCUGAUGCAGCCAUGCCGCGUGUGUGAAGAAGGCCUUCGGGUUGUAAAGCACUUUCAGUAGGGAGGAAGGUAGUGUAGUUAACACCUGCAUUAUUUGACGUUACCUACAGAAGAAGCACCGGCUAACUCCGUGCCAGCAGCCGCGGUAAUACGGAGGGUGCGAGCGUUAAUCGGAAUUACUGGGCGUAAAGCGCAUGCAGGCGGCCUGUUAAGUCAGAUGUGAAAGCCCGGGGCUUAACCUCGGAAUUGCAUUUGAAACUGGCAGGCUAGAGUCUUGUAGAGGGGGGUAGGAAUUUCAGGUGUAGCGGUGAAAAUGCGUAGAGAUCUGAAGGAAUACCAGUGGCGAAGGCGGCCCCCUGGACAAAGACUGACGCUCAGAUGCGAAAGCGUGGGGAGCAAACAGGAUUAGAUACCCUGGUAG
rnacentral:rRNA from 1 species